rnacentral:rRNA from 1 species
AUUGAACGCUGGCGGCAGGCCUAACACAUGCAAGUCGAGCGAAUGAGAGGAGCUUGCUUCUCGAUUCAGCGGCGGACGGGUGAGUAAUGCCUAGGAAUCUGCCUGAUAGUGGGGGACGACGUUUCGAAAGGAACGCUAAUACCGCAUACGUCCUACGGGAGAAAGCAGGGGACCUUCGGGCCUUGCGCUAUCAGAUGAGCCUAGGUCGGAUUAGCUAGUUGGUGAGGUAAUGGCUCACCAAGGCGACGAUCCGUAACUGGUCUGAGAGGAUGAUCAGUCACACUGGAACUGAGACACGGUCCAGACUCCUACGGGAGGCAGCAGUGGGGAAUAUUGGACAAUGGGCGAAAGCCUGAUCCAGCCAUGCCGCGUGUGUGAAGAAGGUCUUCGGAUUGUAAAGCACUUUAAGUUGGGAGGAAGGGUUGUAGAUUAAUACUCUGCAAUUUUGACGUUACCGACAGAAUAAGCACCGGCUAACUCUGUGCCAGCCGCCGCGGUAACAC